UACGUAGGGGCAAGCGUUAUCCGGAAUUACUGGGUGUAAAGGGUACGCAGGCGGUCUAUUAAGUCAGAGGUGAAAUCCAACAGCUCAACUGUUGAACUGCCUUUGAUACUGGUAGACUUGAGGAUAAGAGAAGAAAACGGAAUUCCUAGUGUAGCGGUGAAAUGCGUAGAUAUUAGGAAGAAUACCGAUGGCGAAAGCAGUUUUCUAACUUAUUCCUGACGCUCAGGUACGAAAGCUAGGGUAGCAAACGGG
rnacentral:rRNA from 1 species